GACAGCAGUCGCCACGGUAAUACGAAGGGUGCAAGCGUUAAUCGGAAUUACUGGGCGUAAAGCGCGCGUAGGUGGUUUGGUAAGAUGGAUGUGAAAUCCCCGGGCUCAACCUGGGAACUGCAUCCAUAACUGCCUGACUAGAGUACGGUAGAGGGUGGUGGAAUUUCCUGUGUAGCGGUGAAAUGCGUAGAUAUAGGAAGGAACACCAGUGGCGAAGGCGACCACCUGGACUGAUACUGACACUGAGGUGCGAAAGCGUGGGGAGCAAACAGGAUUAGAUACCCCUGUAGUCCCUGUCUCUUAUAC
rnacentral:rRNA from 1 species